rnacentral:rRNA from 1 species
UGCCAGCAGCCGCGGUAAGACGUAGGAUGCAAGCGUUGUCCGGAUUUAUUGGGCGUAAAGAGUUCGUAGGCUGUUAAUUAAGUCUGGUGUUAAAUACCGUGGCCUAACCACGGAGCUGCAUCAGAUACUGGUUAACUUGAGUGCGGUAGAGGCGAGUGGAAUUCCCAGUGUAGCGGUGAAAUGCGUAGAUAUUGGGAAGAACACCAGUGGCGUAAGCGACUCGCUGGGCCGUAACUGACGCUGAGGCGCGAAGGCGUGGGUAGCGAACGGGAUUAGAUA